CAAGUUGACCAGGUGGUCGCGGUUUGCUUCGGCGAGCUGAGGAAAGUCCGCACUCCACAGAGCACGGUGCCGGCUAACGGCCGGGCGGGGCGACCCGACGGAAAGUGCAACAGAGAGGCGUAUUGCCGGUCGGAGGUUGUACUUCCGGCCGGUGAGGGUGAAACGGUGGUGUAAGAGACCACCAGCAGCGGCAGUAAUGCCGUUGGCUCUGCAAACCCCACCGGGAGCAAGGUCAAGCAGGAUGGAGCGUUGUGCCUCGGCACGAUGCGCGGCGCUGCUCGCGCCGCCGACAUUCGGGUAGAUCGCAUGAGCCAACCAGUAAUGGCUGGCCAAGAUAGAUGACCACUACCCGCCUGACGGCGGGGACAGAAUGCGGCUUAUCGGUCAACUUGGCAG
rnacentral:RNase_P_RNA from 1 species